CUUGGGGAAACCGUGAAGCCAAAGGCAUCCAUGACAGGAGCCCCCUGCCUCGGGCCUGCAGGUCCUGCUCUAGCUCAGGCUCCAUCCACACGCACUCGGGCAUUGUCUGGGAGCAGCCGGUGGGCGUGGCUUCCCCGGUGACGUCAGAGGGGAGCAGCUGCCUGGCCAGCCCACACCUGAGCUGGGGGACCGGCGGGAAACCAGGAGCAAAACUCUCAAGACAGGACUUGCAGAAACAUCAGUGGAGGUGGAUCUCUGGAUGUGUAUGGCUGCAGAUGAAGAAGAGUCUCUGAGGAUGGGAUAUUAUAAAUUUGUAUGAAUAUUUUCCCUACCACUGUUGAGAUUUCAUCUCAUAGGCCUAUCGUACUGCCUGUACCUAGCAAGUAUGCAAUGAAUCCUGCUGAAUCAUAUUUUGCAUGAAAAUUGUAGAAGACCUAAGAAGCCCUGGGAAUAAAGAUUCAAGUGUCAAAUGAAAGAGGGGUUUGAAAUUGACAUAGUAAUAAACUAUCUACACUUUU